AUAAAGCCAGAAGUCCCAAAGGGACAGAAGUCUGGAGGGCAAAAAUAUAUGUAGAUAGGAAUAUGAGAAACCAAUCUCAUAUUAAAUUAUGGGUCAAAGAGUGAUAUGGUUUGGAUUUGUGUCCCCGCCCAAAUCUCAUGUGGAAUUGGAGGAGAGGCAUGGUGGGAGGUGAUUGGAUCAUGAGGUGAAUUUCCCCCUUGCUGUUCGCAGGAUAGUGAGUGAGAUCUGAUGAUUUAGAAGUGUGUGUGGCACUUCCCCUUUGCUCUUUCUCUCUCCUGCCACCACUGUGAAGAAGGUCCUUGCUUCCCCUUCACCUUCUACCAUGAUUGAAAGUUUCCUGAGACCUCCCAGUGAUGCUUCCUGUUAAGCCUAUGGAACUAAACAUCAUGAGAUUACACAGCCUGAUUUAUAAAAGAAUUUGGAGCAAGCUUCAGACUUUAAACAUUCAAAACUGAGUUGGACACCACCAUUUCUGCCACAUUUCCUUAGGAGAAAUGAUGUGUGCAAGUCCUGUCCCUUAGGAGAUGAGCUUUCAAUCCUCUGACUCUCCUCCCCACUCCUCUUUGGCCAGCAAAUGAAGAAACUGGAGCUUUACCUUUAAAUUAGAAGAUGGAAACCAUGUGUGGAAGAUAGCAGAACUCCCCAGCAGAACAGACUCCUUACCUCUUACACUAGAGAGAAAUAAAAUUUUUAUCUUAAUUAAGACAUUUUGCUUUGAAUCAUUUUGUUACAGGUGUUUGGACUGUACUCUAAAUAACACCAUUCCCCCAAAAAUAUAUGAGUUCUUUUUGGCAUGUCAAGUUUCAAAUAUGUGA
rnacentral:lncRNA from 10 species